AUUGAACGCUGGCGGCAUGCCUUACACAUGCAAGUCGAACGGUAACGGGCCUUCGGGUGCCGACGAGUGGCGAACGGGCGAGUAAAGUAUCGGAACGUACCUUUCAGUGGCGGAUAACGUAGCGAAAGUUACGCUAAUACCGCAUAUUCUGUGAGCAGGAAAGCAGGGGAUCGCAAGACCUUGCGCUGAUUCAUCGGCCGAUAUCAGAUUAGCUAGGUGGUGAGGUAAAGGCUCACCAAGGCGACGAUCUGUAGCGGGUCUGAGAGGAUGAUCCGCCACACUGGAACUGAGACACGGUCCAGACUCCUACGGGAGGCAGCAGUGGGGAAUUUUGGACAAUGGGGGCAACCCUGAUCCAGCCAUGCCGCGUGAGUGAAGAAGGCCUUCGGGUCGUAAAGCUCUUUCGGCCGGGAAGAAAUCGUAUCAGCUAAUACCUGGUGCGGAUGACGGUACCGGCAUAAGAAGCACCGGCUAACUACGUGCCAGCCGCCGCCGUAAAAC
rnacentral:rRNA from 1 species